UACAUGCGCAAAAAUGCAGUACGUUAGUUCCUGUACAUUAUUCUCGGUCAUUAUUAUUUAUGGACAGUAAUCAUAUGUACAAUAUGCAUGUACUGGUUUCACCCGAGGUGUAUUGAGGUUUAUGCAUUUCUAACGUACAUUGUUGCGGAAAUAUUUUGUAACAUGAUGAUGAUUUAGUAUCGCUGGGAUUAAUCAAAGAAUUUUGCUUUGUAGCCUAAUAUAAUUUAAAAAAAAAUUACAAACUAUUAUGUCAUUAAAUCAAAUAGAAAUAUACAUUUGGUUGUUUCUUACCAAUUGUCAAAAUAAUACUUUAAAUAUCUUGCUUCAAAUGAUAAAAAGUAUGCUGCAUAGUCUAGUUACAGCUUAACAGAUCCGAUGAGAAAGGAGCGACAUACAAUUAAUUGGUUCCAUGCCGUUUUCAACAGUAUUUCAGUCAGAUGGUUGAAGUGUUCGUAGAGACUGCACAUAGGAAAAUUAGUAUGUAAUAAGGUAAUGUAAGCUUACGCUUUUUACGUGUCCAGGAACGAAAUUGGCUAUAUUAACUCGAUUAGCUAUACUGGCAAGAGAGCGUUCCAGUUGGGUUCGUACCAUGGCAUGAAACAUUAACAGCUGACAAGAAAGAUACGUGUAUAUUGGAUGUUUUCAUAAUGUAACAUAUUGGUUAGCUGCUGUUUGUUAGAUAUCGAAAGAAAUGUAAGAUAUAUUUUCAUUUUAUACAUCAGCAGGGUAACCUAGAUCUCAACUGUUGUAAUGUAUAACAGUAAAUGACGCAGUUCUAGCCUGUACGCUUUGAUGCGGAUAAUCCAUUACGUCAGCAACUGUAACACCAGCAUUAACACGGUCAAUCUCUGGUAUAAGGGGCUGCAGAAAACUAAUGUCGUCAACCGGCUAUUCUCCUAAUGUCUUUAAACAGUUUAGCUACAGGAGCGGCGUGGCAUGGUCGGGGUCGGCAGCUAUUGGGGCACCUUGUGUUGAAAGGUAACUGCUGUACCUGGUUAAUUUUAUUAGAUCCGAUUUAUCUAGAUCUGUUGCAUGCAUUACUUAACUGCCUGAAUGUAAAAGAAUAAGUUAUAAAAAUGCAUUGAUAUGGAAAACGAAAUAAUCAAGAAAUAUCAAAAAUAGGUGUAAAACAGAAUUGAAUCAAUUAUAAGAAUAAUGUUAAUAAUAAUAAUUACAAUAACAAUAAUGAUAUGAAUAAUACUUUGAAUAAUAUGAAUGCAAAGAAGACGUCACAGGAAACUGUUCAAACAUAUUCUGUUUAUGACGUAACAAGUCAGUGACAGUAAGACUCUUCUAAUUGAAAGUCUUAUGGCUAAUGGUUUCCUAUUCGUCCGCCCGUCCGUCCGUUCGUCUGAUGUUCGUUCAAAAUAAAUAGAUAAUACAUUUUGACUGAAACCUCAGCAUAAGGUUUCAUGAUGACCCUGGCUUAUAGUAAUCGAACUAUUGGAUAAUAUGUACAUGUACCUGAAUGACAUUGUAACAUUUAAAGAUAUACAAUAUGUAAAAUAUGCAGCGAGUUUCAUAGAUUUUGAUACAUCUUGAAAAUUAAGGUACAUAGCAAAAGGGAAUUUCUAGCUCUAAACUUUAACUGUCUGUCAAUGACCUGCUGUACCUAUUGAGUAAAUGUGUAUUCACUGCAUACCUCGUUUUGGCGAAUUUUAUUUUCAUAAAAUGUUGAGUGACCCUCAAUACACGUAAUGUGCAUUUCGGUAUGGCAUAUUGUAAAUCUUAUUAGUACUAAAAUCUAAAAUGCAUUACAUUCGUUGAAAUCUAUAGUUAUCAUCUUAUGUCAUAGAGAUCUCUGAGAGCAUCUUUGCCUCGUUUCUCAUGAGUGCAAAGUACUAGAACCUACAAUUUCCUAUUAGGUCUGGUAUGUUCUGCGCUUAUUUUCAUAGUUUUCUGUACCUUCGCGUUGCUAUGUUCUUCCAGGCAUUUUAGCUGGAGCUUUGUCUUUCAUAUUUUCUCAUUAUUUUCAUAUAUACCAUGCUAUAUAUUUACAAUAUGCCAUAAUUUUCAUUUGAAAAUUUACAAUAAAGUCACGGCCUUAUCCCACAUAAUUUUGUUUUGUUUUUGCUAUAUUACUUGGUACAUUCACCUUUGUCAUAGAACCGAUGAACUCCCUUAUGCAGUCGGACCCUUACUGUAGACAGCCUCCAAAAAAUAUAACCUGCUUACUAUGGUCACACGUCACCUGUCUUGAGAAAAUAUAUGUUUUCACAAAUACCGGCAUUUUUCAGUCCCCAAGGGCGGUUCUGCAGCCGGGUUUGACUGUAUAUAUAUAUAUAUAUAAAUACCCUAGCACCCACCCAUAAAUUAAGUAAAUUUAUGUUCUCUUAUGAAAUAAAUUGUUUUAAUUUUGGUGGGUAUCGUCUUGUCUAACAUAACGCCUCACUGCUAAUCCGCACCUGUAUUUGUAUUUAUAGUCGUAUCAGUUCAAAUACUAGUCUGACAAGUUUUAAUCCCACGGGAUUUUCAUGGGCAAAUUUAGUGCAGUGACAAGUACAUUCUUUAUCGGAAAUCCGUAGAGGACAGAUCGUUUACAAAAAAAUCCCUCCCUUCCUUCCCUUUACAGUUACUUUGUUGUUUUUUUACAUAUUUCUGCCGUCAAGUUUAAUCUGUUUCAAGGUCACGAUGGUGAACCAUACUGCUGAACCCUGCCACAAAAUUUACUGCUGCACCAAACAUGUCACGUCGCUUCUGUAAUCUAUGGUCUAUUGGAGAACAAACGCUUUACAGUGUGUGUGUGUAUAAACUCAAUUUUGGUAGUAUGCUUCUGUUGGUACAUUUAAUCAUCAUGGAACAAUACGGUUGAAUGAAACGGGCUUGAUUUUUAACUGCAUGUAUUCAUUUAUAAACAUUCCGAAUGUUACUAUCUUUUUCUUUUUGGUACUCUGUUUGUUGUUUUUUGUUAAACUUGGUUUGAAUUUAAGCACGAAGAUAUCAUGAAUUAGUGCGGGUUUACUACACAAAGCGAUAGCAUGCUGGUUCGCCAAAUUCUGGCAUUGUAUUUGCAGAAAUAUGAGGAGAUGGUCUUAAUGUCAUUUAUUCUGUAAAAAACAAACAAACAAACAAACGUAACUGAAAUAUUUUUGUAGGACAUCGUUUUGUACAUCGAUUUAUAAUUCGAUGACAGCUCAUGUACAUUACCCAGUUUUUUCGUGUUGUUUUUGUUCUGUUUGGCACAUUUAUUUUAUCUACUAGAAACAUUGAUGAUAGUAAAUACUCGGAAAGCAGGGGUGGAGAGAGCCUUUUCGCUGGUCAGAGCCUCGGAUUCUCCCUACCUCCCCCCUCUUAUAUAAAAAUAUCAUAAAAAAUAGAAAAGAGUUAGGGUUGGGGCAGCCGGCUCGCAGCAUACGAUUAACCUGUCUUUCUGGGUAAUUUUAGAUGAAAUUAAAACAAAAAAUAAUAAUUAUAAUAAUAAUAAUGCGUAAAGAUUAAGAUAACAUGACAAGUAUUUGUCAUAUUACAUAUGAAUUGUCCAUUCUGUAUUCUGUCUUACUGCAUAUGUUCAUAAAUAGUCCGGUAUAUUUUAUGUUUCUUUCGGCAUUUUGAUUGCUUAAGUACAUGCAUAUUUGGAAAGAAUUAUGAUAUUUCUGUCUAUAUAUAUUUCGAAGGCGUUCUACUGAUGCAUUGUGUUACUGGGAUAUUGAUUGUUAUAUGAACAGUAGUCAACCACCAUCUUUAAAACCAGUCUAAGUUGUUUGUUUGGUAUUAGUUAUAUAGUAAAGGAAAGAAAUAAGGCGUGUAUGCGUAUAUAAACUUGAUUUUAUUAGUAAACAUACAUUAUUUGCAUUGAUCUGAUUUCAUCAAUUUAGAAUUAUUUUAUUGUCGUGACUUAAAUGGCGCUUACAAAUUGUAAUCUUUAUACGGGGUACAGUAAAGAAAGUCUUCUUUAUUAAAAUGUUUGGCUCAAGUCAAUUCUAAUUUCAUUUUAAUGUUUGUCCGUGUUGUGAGCAAUAUUUAGUGAUCCACAAAAUAUUUUAUUCUUGUAUACUACGGCAGUAUCAAAAUAAAAGCUCACUUGUCUAGGUUGACCUUCUCGUAUCUGCAAUCUCGCGCUCGGUUGGUCAUCUCUUAUUAUUGGUGUUAUUGGGCGGGCGCUCUUUAACCGUUAGAGGGGGCCUUGUACCAUGUGGUCGGCCAUUCACCUGGUCCAUGGAUUGACUGUGUCUUAUAUAAAUAGGGUUGUUCAACUUAUCGGCCAUACGAUUAUUAGUGAUCAGUCGAAAGUUGCAUUUGUUAUAUGUACGUGUAGGUCCGUACAUAUUUUUAUGAUUUGUGGAUCACUUUGCUACAAACCUCUAACACAUGGGUUAUGUUGAAACAGACAGGUAAUUCCCCCCUGUUUUCUUACGUUUCCAGUCUGCUGGUUAGCUCAGUCAAUCGCUUGGAUGGAUUAUAUAUUAUUAUUGUAGUAUAGUUUGCUACAACCGUUCCCUCGCACCGGUCCGUUUGUUCAUAUAUUACAUUGAAACAAUUUUUUCAAUAUUUUAAUAUUUUUGUGCGUUUGUUUGCUGAAGACUUUCUUGACUUGCAUCAGAUUUUAUUUUGACCUUGGUUUUAUGUUUCAUUUCGCAUUUACUUAAUCUAGGAAGAAUUUUUUUGUUGAUAUAUCAUCUCAUGUCAUAGAGAUCUCUGAGAGCAUCUUUGCCUCGUUUCUCAUGAGUGCGAAGUACUAGAACCUACAAUUUCCUAUUAGGUCUGGUAUGUUCUGCGCUUAUUUUCAUAGUUUUCUGCACCUUCGCGCUGCUAUGUUGCUUCCAGGCAUUUUAGCUGGAGCUUUGUCUUUCAUAUUUUCUCAUCAUUUUCAUAUAUACCAUGCUAUAUAUUUACAAUAUGCCAUAAUUUUCAUUUGAAAAUUUACAAUAAAGUCACGGCCUUAUCCCACAUAA